rnacentral:rRNA from 1 species
CGUAGCCACGGGAAUACGAAGGGUGCAAGCGUUACUCGGAAUUACUGGGCGUAAAGCGUGCGUAGGUGGUGGUUUAAGUCCGUUGUGAAAGCCCUGGGCUCAACCUGGGAAUUGCAGUGGAUACUGGGUCACUAGAGUGUGGUAGAGGAUAGUGGAAUUUCCGGUGUAGCAGUGAAAUGCGUAGAGAUCGGAAGGAACAUCUGUGGCGAAGGCGACUAUCUGGGCCAACACUGACACUGAGGCACGAAAGCGUGGGGAGCAAACAGGAUUAGAUACCCCAGUAGUCCCUGUCUCUUAUACC